GCACUUGUGGCUCAAAGGAGUAGGGUGCUGGCCUCAUAUGCCUGAGGUGGCGGGUUCAAAUCCAGCCAUGGCCA
rnacentral:tRNA from 1 species